rnacentral:rRNA from 1 species
AGUGAACGCUGGCGGUAGGCCUAACACAUGCAAGUCGAACGGCAGCACAGUAAGAGCUUGCUCUUACGGGUGGCGAGUGGCGGACGGGUGAGGAAUACAUCGGAAUCUACUUUUUCGUGGGGGAUAACGUAGGGAAACUUACGCUAAUACCGCAUACGACCUACGUGUGAAAGCAGGGGAUCUUCGGACCUUGCGCGAUUGAAUGAGCCGAUGUCGGAUUAGCUAGUUGGCGGGGUAAAGGCCCACCAAGGCGACGAUCCGUAGCUGGUCUGAGAGGAUGAUCCGCCACACGGGAACUGAGACACGGUCCAGACUCCUACGGGAGGCAGCAGUGGGGAAUAUUGCACGAAGGGCGCAAGCCUGAUCCAGCCAUACCGCGUGGGUGAAGAAGGCCUUCGGGUUGUAAAGCCCUUUUGUUGGGAAAGAAAAGCAGCAGGUUAAUACCCCACUGUUCUGACGGUACCCAAAGAAUAAGCACCGGCUAACUUCGUG